rnacentral:rRNA from 1 species
GACGAACGCUGGCGGCAUGCCUUACACAUGCAAGUCGAACGGCAGCGCAGGAGCAAUCCUGGCGGCGAGUGGCGAACGGGUGAGUAAUAUAUCGGAACGUGCCCAGUAGUGGGGGAUAGCCCGGCGGAAGCCGGAUUAAUACCGCAUACGACCUACGGGUGAAAGGGGGGGAUCGCAAGACCUCUCGCUAUUGAAGCGGCCGAUAUCAGAUUAGGUAGUUAGUGGGGUAAAGGCCUACCAAGCCUGCGAUCUGUAGUUGGUCUGAGAGGACGACCAGCCACACUGGGACUGAGACACGGCCCAGACUCCUACGGGAGGCAGCAGUGGGGAAUUUUGGACAAUGGGCGCAAGCCUGAUCCAGCAAUGCCGCGUGCAGGAAGAAGGCCUUCGGGUUGUAAACUGCUUUUGUCAGGGAAGAAAUCCUCUAGGCUAAUACCUUGGGGGGAUGACGGUACCUGAAGAAUAAGCACCGGCUAACUACGUGCCAGCCGCCGCCGUAAUAC